rnacentral:rRNA from 1 species
UCAGGACGACGCUGGCGGCGUGCUUAACACAUGCAAGUCGAACGGUAAGGCCCUUCGGGGUACACGAGUGGCGAACGGGUGAGUAACACGUGGGUGAUCUGCCCUGCACUUCGGGAUAAGCCUGGGAAACUGGGUCUAAUACCGGAUAGGACCAUGGACUUCACGGUUUGUGGUGGAAAGCUUUUGCGGUGUGGGAUGGGCCCGCGGCCUAUCAGCUUGUUGGUGGGGUAAUGGCCUACCAAGGCGACGACGGGUAGCCGGCCUGAGAGGGUGUCCGGCCACACUGGGACUGAGAUACGGCCCAGACUCCUACGGGAGGCAGCAGUGGGGAAUAUUGCACAAUGGGCGCAAGCCUGAUGCAGCGACGCCGCGUGAGGGAUGACGGCCUUCGGGUUGUAAACCUCUUUCAAUAGGGACGAAGCGCAAGUGACGGUACCUAUAGAAGAAGCACCGGCCAACUACGUG